UGUUUUUUAUUUUGGUGUCAUUCUCCCUGUUUGAAACGCAGUAAACAUUGAGAGCUGUCCGUCCGUUAUAAAUUAAUUGUCGCCAUGAUAUUUGUUUUUCGAUGCAUUGAUCUGAUAUAGGCCUAUACCUUAGCCACCAAUGAUAUAGACAUAUCGUAUGACUUUAAAGAAAAUAAACACGAUUUCCAAGGAUUCAACAAAAUAUUACACGUUUCUUGUUUCUGAAUUGGUCAAGUGAAGGUAGGCCUAUUUUGGUGUAUUUUGGUGUGUGUUCAUAUGCGUCCUUGCAUGUGUGCUCGUAAUCUGGUGUGGAUUUUAUUUGUAAUAACAGUAAUUAAAUUGAGCUGUCAAAAAUAGUACAGAAUUGAAAGGUCAUUUCCACCUGGUGGUGGAAAUAUAAAUUACACCCUGGAUAAACAUUCUUGAUUUACUUGUCGAAUGCGUCGCAGGAAUUAUGAUAUUGAAUUAAUGCACCAAAUUUUCAUAAGAACACAAGAUACAUUGAAUGAAAUUAAUAUUAUAAUUAACAUGGCCAUAAUCCCUCGGUAUUCUUUUUCUAACUAUGUAAUUCUUUUUUUUUUUUUAUCUCGGUGUUAUGGGUGUCAGUGACGUGGGGGGUAUUUAACCACUUCGACCUGCAGACAGUGUCUUAAAGUACUACAGCCUCGGGAAGCAAAGGUGAACAACAUGAAGACAUUUGCGCUGGUUUUCGUUUUCCUGAUCUUGGCUGCAGUUUGCACAGAUGCCAAUCCCAUCAUGAAGGAGAGUGUUGCUAAGCAGCCCUUCCGCAGCAAGAGGCAGGUUGUAAUCAUCAUUGAUCUUCCUGGACCUGAACCGAGACUGGCCGCGAGCAGAAGCGGCCUGGUGACGGCCUAGCGCUGAGCUGGAGGGGACCGAGUCCAGGUGGCGCCCACAACGUGACCCGACGGACGCACGACGAGUCACGGUGUGUGAUCGCUGUGUGAUCGGUGUGUGAUCGGUGUGUGAUCUCUUAAACUGUCUAUUUGACUCAUGCAUCACAUUGGAAAUUGUGUAUGAAUUUAAUUAAAAAAUAAAUACAAAUAUGACUAUAUCAUCGGUUUGACAGUCAAUGGUAUUCAAUUUGCUCAAUUAAUUUGAUUGAUGGUUUAUUUAAAUCUAUUUUCUAACCUUAGGUCAACUCCCUUAGUCUAUUUAUUCUUUCCAGAGCAAACCGGUUUCAUUUAGUUUAAGGAAAAUACAUUUUGUUUUGUCGUUUUCAUUCACUGAACCGUCUCACAAAAGGGAAGGAGGGACAGAGAGAGGGAGGGAGGGAGGGAGAGAGGGAGGGAGGGAGGGAGAGAGAGACAGAGAAAGGGAGGCAGAAAUAGAGAGAGACAGGGACAGAGAGACAGAGAGACCGGAAGACACAGACAGACAGACAGACAAGUAGAGUGGGUGAGACACAGCUUUAUGCACAAUAUUUCACCUAUAAAACUCCCUUAACUAAUACUACGGAUCCCACUACCGAUUUCUGAGUGGGCUACGAGGGAACUAUCUGCCGGAGGUCUGCUGGGUUGCUUCUAAUCCGGAGGGGGGGGGGGGGGGGGCGUACAUCACCAUGGUUACCACAAGGUAUAUGGAUCACUCACACCAAGCCUGCUCCAGAGGACAGGAUCUCGGUUAAUAGGCCAGAACAGAACAAAGUCCCGCCCACUUUGCCAAAAGGACCACCGGACCAAUCAGGGUCUCUCGCUUCAUACACCACACACACACACACGCACGCCAAUCAAUUGGAUGAAAGGUAGAACUCGGUCGCUCAAUGCAACGCAAAAACCCACCAGGAUACCAGAGGGCGACAGUUAAAGACAACCACCAAACCUGCCCUCAGCUCCACCAACAAGGACCUGCCAGGACAGCAGGCAAGGACUUCUCGAGUCGCGCGCGGCACGUGAGUGACGUGGGGGCUAUUUAACCACCUCGACCUGCAGAACGUGUCUUAAAGUACUACAGCCUCGGGAAGCAAAGGUGAACAACAUGAAGACAUUUGCGCUGGUUUUUUUCGUUUUCCUGAUCUUGGCUGCAGUUUGCACAGAUGCCAAUCCCAUCAUGAAGGAGAGCGUUGCUAAGCAGCUCUUCCGCAGCAAGAGGCAGGAUAAAGUCUUCGAGGUGGUAAGUUCAUAGAGGUCAAAGGUCGACGGAAACAUCAUCAGUGGAACAUUUGUAAUUUCAACACAUCUAAGGAUUUUUUUUUUCUGUGUACUUUAAAACGUCAACAUUGUCUGCUUCUUUUAUUUGUGUUUGUCAGAGUCUACUGGUGGAACUCUUUCACAUUUCAAAGGGAAUCUCAUUAUUUGAUUUUUACGGUGAUUAUGGUGCAAGGUUGGAUCCAGCUAAUAAUAAAUUAUA